rnacentral:misc_RNA from 1 species
AGCGCCUUGACGCUGCGGUCAAAGAAAUCGGAGAUAAGGCGAUCGAGUGGGGGGCGGGAGAUGAGGGACUUGCCAUUGAAAAGAAUUACGCGGAACUCCUCCUGGCAGAUGAGGAAAGUGUCGAGGAGCUUCUGGAUCCAGGCGAGGGAGAGCAAGGGGGCGGCGGCGAGGUCGAGGAAGAGCUCAGCCACUUGCUUCUGGAAAGACUCGAGUUCGAGCUCGCCGGCGUCGUGGUGGGCGGCGUCCAUUGAGUUGUGGACCUGAUCGCGGCGGAUGCUGAGAAUGGAGCGGCCGAGGGAGGAGAAGGGGGCGGAAGAGCCCUGGUAGUCCGUGGGGGGCAUUUUCACAUGUCGCCGGAACCCUAGAAAAUGGCGGCGGGAAUCGCCGG